AGGAUUGCAUUGGGAUAGAUGGUUGAGGCUUGAAUCUUGUAUUUUUGAUGGACAUCACCAUAUGUGUUGGAAUGACAUUACUUGAAUUGCUCUUGAGAUACCACUUAGGAUCUUUGACCUUGAUACCAUUUGGUGGGGCACUCCCCCUAUGUCAUAGCAUGGGUCAUUCACUUGUCAAUCUUGUUGGUGAGGGAACUUUCUUUGC
rnacentral:lncRNA from 1 species